GAUGAACGCUGGCGGCGUGCCUAAUACAUGCAAGUCGAGCGAACAGACGAGGAGCUUGCUCCUCUGACGUUAGCGGCGGACGGGUGAGUAACACGUGGAUAACCUACCUAUAAGACUGGGAUAAUUUCGGGAAACCGGAGCUAAUACCGGAUAAUAUAUUGAACCGCAUGGUUCAAUAGAGAAAGAUGCUUUUGCUGUUACUUAUAGAUGCAUUCGGGCGGCAUUAGCUGGUUGGUAAGGUCACGGCUUAGCAAGGCGCCGAUGCGGAGCCGACCUCGGAGAGUGAGAGGCCACACUGGAACUCAGACACGGUCACUACUCCUACGCGAGGGAGCAGAGGGGAAUCUUCCGCAACAGGCGCGAACUUGACGGAGCGACGCCGCGUGAGUGAUAAAAAUCUUCGGAUCGUGAAAAUCUCUUUUGAGGGAAGAGCAAAUGUGUAAGUAACUAUGCACGUCUUGACGGUACCUAAACAGAAAGCGCCGGCUAACUACGUG
rnacentral:rRNA from 1 species